UUCGGUUUUAAUCAGUGCUUUUAGUUGAUUGGCUGGAUAGUCUUACCUGGGGAUAUAUUUAAAUCAGAUGGGUUACCUGGGGCACACCCCCUUUUGUCUCCACCCUCCUGCCUUGGCGCGAGGCUUGGCGUGGUUGGGUGAAUGCUCUCCUUUCCUCCAGGAAUUCCCACAAGCGUGCUGUCGGCUGAAGUUCUGUCUUUUUCUUUGAGUUCAUCUGAUGAGUUCUGGUGCUCCGGGUUUCUCCUGCUCCAUUUCAGUACUGAGGCUUGUAUGGCGAGAUUGUUCCGGUGGUUUAUGUUACGCUUUAAGUUUCCCUUACCCUGGGCAUCGUGCUGACCAGUGGAUGUGCCACAUCCCACCACUGCCACACUGAGGAGCUCCCAGGAGUCAAAAUACACUGCUGCGACUCAGACCUGUGCAACAGCGCCUCCUCAUGGCACAUAUCUUCAUUACAGGCACUUUGCUCACUGACAGUCACUCUUGCAGUGGUGUGGUUACAUCUAUGAUCACCUCUGAUCUGAACUGAUUUUUCCUGAAGAAAGAGCCGAGCAGAACUGGAGCAAAUCUUCCCAUACCUGUGGAACAUGGCAAUGGAUGGACACUGUCAUGAUAUGUUAUCUUACAGUGCAAGUUUUAUAUUGAAAGUUCAGACAUUCUUAUUUGGAAUGGACAGUCUACAAAAAAAAAAUGGGAUGAGAAAAUGGGAAUGGAUGCUGUAUGUGAUGCUGAUCAUGUAGCCUAAGUAAUUGCACUAAAAAGGGAACACUGGUCCUUUCUUCUUUUUUUAGAAUACUAUUGGGGGACGUUGGUGUCGAUUGAUAUGGAUCAAAAAGCGAUACUUCAACUACUGAUUAUUAUUAUUAGCAUUAUUCAUAGUCUACUCUAUUUAAUCUGAUCAAUACUAUCAAUAUUAUUAGCAUUUCUCAAUCAUCAAACAACCCAGCCAGCAUUCUUAUGUAGGGUUCACAUGCGUGGACUAUGGGCUAAGAGGGUUUCAGGU
rnacentral:lncRNA from 1 species